rnacentral:rRNA from 1 species
UGAAUACGAGACGCUAAGGCGUCGAAGUAGUGUAUGUCAUACUUCCAAGAAAAGCUUGCACUGUCAUAAGUAAAAAAUGCCUGUACCAUAACCGACACAGGUGGGUAGGUAGAGUAUACUAAGGGGCGCGAGAUAACUCUCUCUAAGGAACUCGGCAAAAUAACUCCGUAACUUCGGGAGAAGGAGUACCUUAUUCUAUAAGGUUGCAAUAACAAGAUCCAAGCAACUGUUUAUCAAAAACACAGGUCUCCGCUAAGUCGUAAGACGAUGUAUGGGGGCUGACGCCUGCCCAGUGCCAGAAGGUUAAAGAAGUCGGUUAGCAUUAGCGAAGCUGGUAACUGAAGCCCUGGUGAACGGCGGCCGUAACGAUAACGGUCCUAAGGUAGCGAAAUUCCUUGUCGGGUAAGUUCCGACCCGCACGAAAGGCGUAAUGAUUUGGAUACUGUCUCGGAGAGGGGCUCGGUGAAAUAGACUUGUCUGUGAAGAUGCGGACUACCUGCACCAGGACAGAAAGACCCUAUGAAGCUUUACUGUAACUUGAAAUUGAAAUUGGACUUUAUUCGCGCAGUAUAGGUGGGAGGUGUUGAUUAUAAUCUUGCGGGAUUAUUGGAGCCAUCAGUGAGAUACCACUCUUGUAAUGUUAGAUUUCUAACUUUGAAUCAUUAUCUGGUCAAAGGACAGUUUCAGGCGGGCAGUUUGACUGGGGCGGUCGCCUCCCAAACGGUAACGGAGGCGUACAAAGGUUUCCUCUGAACGGGUAGAAAUCGUAUCUAGAGUGUAAAGGCAUAAGGAAGCUUGACUGUGUGACCUACAAGUCGAACAGGGACAAAAGUCGGUCUUAGUGAUCUGACGGUACUGAGUGGAAAGGCCGUCACUCAACGGAUAAAAGUUACUCUAGGAUAACAGGCUGAUCUCCCCCAAGAGUUCACAUCGACGGGGAGGUUUGGCACCUCGAUGUCGGCUCAUCGCAUCCUGGGGCGGUAGUACGUCCCAAGGGUUGGGCUGUUCGCCCAUGAAAGCGGUACGCGAGCUGGGUUCAGAACGUCGUGAGACAGUUCGGUCCAUAUCCGGUGUAGGCGUUAGAAUAUUGAGAGGAGCCUUCUUUAGUACGAGAGGACCGAGAAGGACAUACCUCUGGUGUACCAGUUAUCGUGCCAACGGUAAACGCUGGGUAGCUAUGUAUGGAGUGGAUAACCGCUGAAAGCAUCUAAGUGGGAAGCCCACCUCAAGAUAAGUAUUCUCA